rnacentral:rRNA from 1 species
GAGUAAGUGAACAAGGGCGUACGGGGGAUGCCUAGGCUCUCAGAGGCGAAGAAGGACGUGCCAAGCUGCGAAAAGCCGCGGGGACCUGCAAGGGGGUUUGAUCCGCGGAUGUCCGAAUGGGGCAACCCAUCCACAGCGAUGUGGAUAUUCCGAAAAGGAAGGCGAACGUGGGGAACUGAAACAUCUAAGUACCCACAGGAAGAGAAAACAACAGUGAUUCCGUGAGUAGUGGCGAGCGAAAGCGGAACAGCCCAAACCGUGCAUGUUACGGCAUGCGCGGGGUUAUAGGACCUGCAGGAUUGUAUUGAAUGUGACCGGAACACAGUGGGAACUGUGGCCAUAGCGGGUGAGAGCCCCUUACGGGAAGCAUGAGAUACGAGGCGGGUAUCCUGAGUAGGCCGGGACAGGAGAAAUCCCGGUUGAAUUUGCCGGCACCAUCCGGUAAGGCUAAAUACUCCUGAGAGACCGAUAGUGUACAAGUACCGUGAGGGAAAGGUGAAAAGUACCGUGAAUAACGGGGUGAAAUAGAACCUGAAACCGUGCGCCUACAAGCGGUCGGAGCGGAGCGAUUCCGUGACGGCGUGCCUUUUGCAUAAUGAGCCUACGAGUUACUCCUCACUGGCGAGGUUAAGUGCAUGGAUGCACGCAGCCGGAGCGAAAGCGAGUCUGAACAGGGCGCUUAGUCAGUGGGGGUAGACGCGAAACUUUGUGAUCUACCCAUGGACAGGUUGAAGCGGCGGUAAGACGCCGUGGAGGACCGAACCGAUAAGCGUUGAAAAGCUUCCGGAUGAUCUGUGGGUAGGGGUGAAAGGCCAAUCAAACUGAGAAAUAGCUCGUACUCCCCGAAAUGUUUUUAGGAACAGCGUCGUGGAAUGUAUGGCGGAGGUAGAGCUACCGAUAGGACUAGGGGGAGUCAUAUCCUACCAAAUCCUGACGAACUCCGAAUGCCGCCAUACAGUAACGGCAGUGAGGGCUUGGGUGCUAAGGUCCGAGUCCGAGAGGGAAAGAACCCAGACCUACCGCUAAGGUCCCGAAAUCCACACUAAGUUGAACAAAGGUGGUCCAGCUGCUUAGACAGCCAGGAGGUUAGCUUGGAAGCAGCUAUUCCUUUAAAGAGUGCGUAACAGCUCACUGGUCGAGCGGCAGGGCGUCGAUAAUAAACGGGCAUCAAGUGUGGUACCGAAGCGUAGGAUUUACGGCAACGUAUAAUGGUAGGGGAGCAUUCCAACGGCGGUGAAUGUGCAUGGCGAUGUGCACUGGAGCUUUUGGAAAAGCAAAUGUAGGCAUAAGUAACGAUAAUGCGGGUGGGAAACCCGCACACCGAUAGACCAAGGUUUCCUGAUCAAUGCUAAUCAGAUCAGGGUCAGUCGGGACCUAAGGCGCACCCGAAAGGGACAGCCGAUGGACAACAGGUGAAUAUUCCUGUACCGCGCGUAUGAUAAAAGCGACGUAGGGGUGUACCCGGUGCGCACUGACGGAAUAGUGCGUUGAACCACAUGAGAGUGUGGGAUAGUACACGGAGGCCUCGGCCGAAGUGAUAAUCCGGGGAAGCAACUUCCAAGAAAAGCGAAUACGCGUGCCCGUACCGCAAACCGACACAGGUGGUCAAGGAGAGGAUCCUGAGGUGCUCGAGUGAAUCAUGGCUAAGGAACUCGGCAAAAUGGCCCUGUAACUUCGGGAGAAGGGGCGCCUACCCUCACUUCGGUGAGGGAGGCCGCAGUGAAAAGGCCCAGGCGACUGUUUAGCAAAAACACAUGGCUUUGCGAACUCGAAAGAGGAAGUAUAAGGCCUGACACCUGCCCGGUGCCGGAAGGUUAAGAGGGGAGCUCAGCGCAAGCGAAGGUUUGAAUCGAAGCCCCGGUAAACGGCGGCCGUAACUAUAACGGUCCUAAGGUAGCGAAAUUCCUUGUCGGGUAAGUUCCGACCUGCACGAAUGGUGUAACGAUCUGGGCGCUGUCUCAGCCAUGAGCUCGGUGAAAUUGUAGUCACGGUGAAGAUGCCGUGUACCCGCAACGGGACGGAAAGACCCCAUGAACCUUUACUGCAGCUUAGCAUUGGUACCGGGUAAACGAUGUGUAGGAUAGGCGGGAGGCUUUGAAGUGGCGUCGCCAGGCGCUGCGGAGCCGUUGUUGAAAUACCGCCCUUUGUUUGCUUGGUAUCUAACCCCGCAGAAGCGGGAGACAUUGCUUGGUGGGUAGUUUGACUGGGGUGGUCGCCUCCAAAAGGAUAACGGAGGCUUCCAAAGGUUCCCUCAGCACGCUUGGUAACCGUGCGCGGAGUGCAAUAGCAUAAGGGAGCUUGACUGUAAGGCCGACAAGCCGAGCAGGGUGGAAACACGGGUAUAGUGAUCCGGCGGUACAGCAUGGAAUGGCCGUCGCUCAAAGGAUAAAAGGUACUCUGGGGAUAACAGGCUGAUCUCCCCCAAGAGCUCAUAUCGACGGGGAGGUUUGGCACCUCGAUGUCGGCUCGUCACAUCCUGGGGCUGGAGAAGGUCCCAAGGGUUCGGCUGUUCGCCGAUUAAAGUGGCACGCGAGCUGGGUUCAGAACGUCGUGAGACAGUUCGGUCCCUAUCUGUUGCGGGCGUGGGAAGUUUGAGGAGCGCUGACCUUAGUACGAGAGGACCGGGUUGGACUGACCGCUGGUGUACCGGUUGUGGUGCCAACUGCACUGCCGGGUAGCUACGUCGGGAAGAGAUAAGCGCUGAAAGCAUCUAAGUGCGAAACUCCCUCCAAGAUGAGACUUCCAAACAGGGCCGUCAGAGACGAUGACGUCGAUAGGCUGCAGGUGCAAAGUCAGUAAUGACAAAGCCGAGCAGUACUAAUAGCCCGAAAACUUGCUUCA